rnacentral:lncRNA from 1 species
GGUUCAUGAAUAUUGCAACCAUUACACAAAGUACAUGGUGUCAUCGAACAAGAAAGAAAGCUUCUUAUGACCUCCAAAGUUUAAUAUAUAAAAAAAGCGGCAGAGAGGUAACUUACUGCAGCUAUACCAUCUUGCUGUCAAAAUACUUGGCAUUAAACUGAGAACCCUCUAGCGCCAUUCCACCACCCAGGAUAGCCAAAAGCUGGUAGAUACGAAAAAAACUUGGAAAUUAUGUAUCACAGUUGGUAGCUUUUAGUUAAGUAAAUACAAGUGAGCAUUCAAAAGCAUCAGUACCAAAGCUAGGAUUUGAUAGAUUCAUAGAAAGAUAUGGAAGCAACUUAAGGCACCAUGAGCUAGGCAGAACACUGAUAACGAUUGCAAACUUGUUGUACAUGUCUAGUUAUGUCGUUACCUCACUGUAAAAGAUAUUCUCACCGUCAGAACCCAACAAUGCUUGAGACUUGAAGAACAUUUCUUCCUUUGUCCGUUUAUACUGAAGACCUGAUAGUUAGACUAUGUUAGUUAUGUGAUUCUGGAAGAAAAGGAUAAAAAUGGUUCAGAGAAAAAAAGGUAAAUAAAAAGAAGAAAUUUGAUCAACUUGAUUACCAAAGUCGUAUUGACUUAUAUACAUUACUAAAAUAACGAUUUGAACGACUUGUUCGACUAAUAUUUCUAGGGCUAGCAUUUGAUUUUGAACACAUAUAAUCUCUAGUAUACUUUUCACUUCUUCCACAAUCCGUGCUUGUUGCUUGGGUAGGUGACCACCGAAUAAUAUGACAAGCCAACAAUACUGAAACUUUGUAUACACAAAACCUUAAUUUCCAACCAUCUGGAGGAAACAACUCUAUUCAACCCUGAACUCUUGUGUGUAGAGUUGCUUAUGGAUUAGGUAGUUCAUGCAGUAGCAUGGCACGGAGAAAUUUAGUUGUUCCCAAUAGACAUGUCCUCUCUUGUGCAGCGCCAUACAUCACCUACAAUCUGAAUUCCACGGGGC